CCUACGGGAGGCAGCAGUGGGGGAUAUUGCACAAUGGGGGAAACCCUGAUGCAGCGACGCCGCGUGUAGGAAGACGGUCCUCUGGAUUGUAAACUACUGUCCCCAGGGACGAAGAUGACGGUACCUGGGGAGGAAGCUCCGGCUAACUACGGGCCAGCAGCCGCGGCAAUACGUAGGGAGCGAGCGUUGUCCGGAAUUACUGGGUGAAAAGGGAGCGUAGGGGGGGAUGCAAGUUGGGUGUUAAAUCUACCGGCUCAACUGGUAGUCGAACUCAAAACUGCAGCUCUUGAGUGAAGUAGAGGCAGGCGGAAUUCCUAGUGUAGCGGUGAAAUGCGUAGAUAUUAGGAGGAACACCAGUGGCGAAGGCGACCUGCUGGGCUUUUACUGACGCUGAGGCGCGAAAGUGUGGGGAGCAAACAGGAUUAGAUACCCCGGUAGUC
rnacentral:rRNA from 1 species